UACGUAGGGACCGAGCGUUGUCCGGAAUCAUUGGGCGUAAAGAGCGUGUAGGCGGCUAUUUAAGUCCUGCGUGAAAUCCUGCGGCUCAACCGCAGACGGUCGUGGGAAACUGGAUGGCUAGAGUGCGGGAGAGGAGAGUGGAAUUCCCGGUGUAGCGGUGAAAUGCGCAGGUAUCGGGAAGAACACCCGUGGCGAAGGCGGCUCUCUGGAACGCAACUGACGCUGAGACGCGAAAGCGUGGGGAGCAAACAGG
rnacentral:rRNA from 1 species